rnacentral:lncRNA from 1 species
GUGGGGACACGGGGUGGCAUUUGGGGUCUAUGGGGACAUGGGGUGGCAUUUGGGGUCACAGGAAAGCCAUGGGGUGGCACUUUUGGGACAUGGGGUGUCAUUUUUGGGAUCUGUGGGGACACAGGGUGGCAUUUGGGGACAUGGGUGGCACUUUUGGGAUCUAUGGGGACACAGGGUGGCAUUUGGGGUCACAGGAAAGCCAUUGGGUGGCAUUUGGGGACACAGGUGGCACUUUUGGGAUCUAUGGGGACAUGGGGUGGCAUUUAGGGUCGUGGGGACACGGGGUGGCAUUUGGGGACAUGGGGUCUAUGGGGACAUGUGGGGACAUUUGGGGACAUGGGGUGGCAGUGGGGUCGCUCUGGGGACAUUUGGGGACAUUUGGGGACAUUUGGGGACGCGUUGCUGUUGUCCCCCCCCCCACAGGUGUUCAUCUUCAUCGGGGAGACGCUGCUGUCCCUCAACUGGGCCAUCGUGGCCGACAUCCUGCUGGUCAGUGGGGACAGCUGGGGACAUUUGGGGACUUUGGGGACUUUGGGGACAUCGGGGACGAUAGGGACAAUUGGGGACAUCUGGGGACAUUUGGGGACAAUGGGGACAUUUGGGGACAUCUGGGGACUUUGGGGACAUUGGGGACUUUGGGGUCUUUGGGGAUAUUGGGGACAGUGGGGACAAUGGGGACAGCUGGGGACAAUUGGGGACAAUGGGGACAUUUGGGGACAUCUGGGGACUUUGGGGACAAUUGGGGACAUUUGGGGUCUUUGGGGACAUCUGGGGACACUGGGGACAGUAGGGACAGUAGGGACAUUGGGAACUUUGGGGACAGCUGGGGACAUCUGGGGACAUUUGGGGACUUUGGGGACUUUGGGGUCUUUGGGGACAUUGGGGACUUUGGGGACUGUCCCCCUGUCCCCAACUGUCCCCAUGUCCCCCUAUCCCCCAACUGUCCCCAAUUGUCCCCACCUGUCCCCCCGUGUCCCCAUGUCUCCCCAACUGUCCCCAACUGUCCCCUGUCCCCAAUUGUCCCCAUGUCCCCGUAUCCUCCCACUGUCCCCUGUCCCCAAUUGUCCCCCAUGUCCCCAACUGUCCCUCUGUCCCCCAAUUGUCCCCCUGUCCCCAAUUGUCCCCAUGUCCCCUAUCCCCAAAUGUCCCCAAUUGUCCCCCUGUCCCCAAUUGUCCCCCUGUCCCCCUAUCCCCCCAUUGUCCCCCUGUCNNNNNNNNNNNNNNNNNNNNNNNNNNNNNNNNNN